rnacentral:rRNA from 1 species
UACGAAGGGGGCGAGCGUUGUUCGGAAUUACUGGGCGUAAAGGGCGCGCAGGCGGCUCUGAAAGUCAGAUGUGAAUGCCCCGGGCUUAACCUGGGAACUGCAUUUGAUACUCUGGAGCUUGAGUACGGGAGAGGAUAGUGGAAUUCCCAGUGUAGAGGUGAAAUUCGUAGAUAUUGGGAAGAACACCAAUGGCGAAGGCAGCUCGCUGGGACGGUACUGACGCUGAGACGCGAAAGCGUGGGGAGCAAACAGG